CAGAGCCUCACGCACAAAACACAUUAGCAACAUUUUCAAGGUGAAAGACUUCCUCUGGUAACCAAAUACAAGCUGUAUCUACUUUACAAGAACAAAGGGACUCUCAUUAGAAGCAGAUAAUUGGCUACAAGUAAGGUGUCCAGCAACUCUGUACUCAGAUACAUUUGAAUCAUGGUAAAAUAAGCAUACAUAUUAGAAAAAUAUAAAAAUAUGUACCACAUUUUUAAAAAUCUACCGUGCUAGGCACUAGGCCGUGCAGAAACUUCUCUAUUUUUCUUGACUCCCAAAUGAUAACAUGGACAACUUACAUAAUUUAUGUAACUUGCAU